GCCUUUAAGUGUCGGGGCCCGGCAGGCAGAGCAGUGAGGAGCCGGGGACGGGACAGAGGCCAUAAAACAUGAGCACGUGAAGGGAAGUGUCAGCGGAACAUGAGAGAUGGAACCCUGCAUGGGAGACCCCCGUCAGGAUCCCUCUGCUGGUUGUUAUGUCUUGUGCCCCGGACAGGAUAUCAUCUUAUACUGUAAGUUUAUUAAAGAGACACUACAGUAUAGAUGAUGUACUAUCCAGGGUUUUCAUUCCCCCAGCGGCUCAAUCAGCGCACACUGGCUCCUAACUGCCUGCUCUGGGGGGGGCCGUCAAACCGUUACCAUUACUGAGUUUCAGUUAGGGUAAGGGUUAUACGGCCCUCGCUCAAUGUCAUCAGGACCUCCAGGAACAAGACAGUGACAUCUUUUCAUGUGCGUAAAAUAAAGCUUAUUGCUCCCAAACGAA